CCUAGCCGCCGCUGGAACAUGGAAGACCUCCUUCGUUGUUCGUUGAUUCAUCUGCGCGCCGAAUUGACCCAGGAAUCUACCAGCUUGUGGACAAGAAUGUGGUUUUGGACUGGAUUCAAUGGAAAUGACGACCAGAAGGAAGCAUAAUAAAAUUGCAAAUCUAAGGGAACGAACAAUCCCUUCACAUGGCCUGAUUAUUGUAAUAGACAGCAUUGGCUAGGGACGAUAAUUUAUAGGAGCUUGAUGCUCAUGAUUUUAAUUAUUAACCAUUCCAAUCUUGCUAAAAUGCUA